rnacentral:rRNA from 1 species
UACGAAGGGUGCAAACGUUGCUCGGAAUUACUGGGCGUAAAGGGCGCGUAGGUGGCCUGCUAAGUCGAACGUGAAAUCCCCGGGCUCAACCCGGGAACUGCGUCCGAUACUGGCAGGCUUGAAUUCGGGAGAGGGAUGCGGAAUUCCAGGUGUAGCGGUGAAAUGCGUAGAUAUCUGGAGGAACACCGGUGGCGAAGGCGGCAUCCUGGACCGAGAUUGACGCUGAGGCGCGAAAGCCAGGGGAGCAAACGGG